AUGAUACGCGAGGAACCGUUACCUGGGCGUCGAACGUAAGAAUUGACUGUAGGUGAAAGACUUACAUCUCUUCGGAGCAUUUUACGAGGUGCUGCAUGGUUGUCGUCAGCUCGUGCCGUGAGGUGUCGGGUUAAGUCCCAUAACGAGCGCAACCCCUACCUUUAGUUGCCAUCAGGUUAAGCUGGGGACUCUAAAGGAACUGCCUACGCAAGUAGUGAGGAAGGCGGGGAUGACGUCAAAUCAGCACGGCCCUUACGUCCAGGGCUACACACGUGCUACAAUGGCCGAUACAGAGGGCAGCUACCUGGUGACAGGAUGCAAAUCUCCAAAGUCGGUCUCAGUUCGGAUCGGAGUCUGCAACCCGACUCCGUGAAGUUGGAUUCGCUAGUAAUCGCGCAUCAGCCAUGGCGCGGUGAAUACGUUCCCGGGCCUU
rnacentral:rRNA from 1 species